UAGGGAAUCUUCCGCAAUGGGCGAAAGCCUGACGGAGCAACGCCGCGUGAGUGAUGAAGGUCUUCGGAUCGUAAAACUCUGUUAUUAGGGAAGAACAAAUGUGUAAGUAACUAUGCACGUCUUGACGGUACCUAAUCAGAAAGCCACGGCUAACUACGUGCCAGCAGCCGCGGUAAUACGUAGGUGGCAAGCGUUAUCCGGAAUUAUUGGGCGUAAAGCGCGCGUAGGCGGUUUUUUAAGUCUGAUGUGAAAGCCCAAGGCUCAACCGUGGAGGGUCAUUGGAAACUGGAAAACUUGAGUGCAGAAGAGGAAAGUGGAAUUCCAUGUGUAGCGGUGAAAUGCGCAGAGAUAUGGAGGAACACCAGUGGCGAAGGCGACUUUCUGGUCUGUAACUGACGCUGAUGUGCGAAAGCGUGGGGAUCAAACAGG
rnacentral:rRNA from 1 species